rnacentral:lncRNA from 1 species
CGGAGCGCCAGCGAUGCCCUCUGCCCGCGGGGACCCGAGCCUCGCGCGCCCUCCGCCCUCCCUACCCUGGCCCCUGUACCCAUCACACCUGGGGCACUGCCGUCCGCCGAGCUUGGGCGCGCGGCGGCGAGAAGGCACUGGAGGAGGAGAAGCAGCCGGGGCGUAGGCGCCCUCGCCCCCAGCAGGCCGGGGAGGGCGCGCAUGGCGCCAGAGGGUCCGCCUCAGUUCUCGUGGAGACUGCUCCCUCAGCUCGCCGCCGCGGGUGUCCGGAAUCCCUCCGCACACUCGCAGGUGGCCCGGCACCCGCAGCCAGUGCCGCGGGCAGGACGCUGAAGAAAAGGCGGAAUGGGAGGGGCCCGGCCGCCUUGCCCUACUCCCCGAGACGCUCUUACCGCGCCCGGCCUUCCAUCAGUUAUGCAGCCCUCAGCCCGCUGCUGGCGUUCCCGGAUGUGCGGUGCUACUCCCGGCUGCAGCCUCUCCGGCCUCCGCCCUCUAGGCUCUAGCAGGUCGGGAGAGAGCUUGGGCAGGUGAUGUGUAGCCCAUCGCGUGGGGAGAGGUUGAAACUAUCCCUGCAGACUGGCCUUUGCACUUCAUCUGAGGCAGAUUUCACUAAUUUUCGUUGAUGGGACAGAUGAGAGACACUUUCCUCCUCCCCGACCCCGGACAUCUUUGGGCUUUCUUAUGAGGGAGGCUUAUUUUUGCGCAGGUGUAAGGUUUUAUCCAGCUGCCAGACAACUUGUACUGAUCUUUCUUUGCUUUGCCUACUAAUCACACACACCCUCUCUUCUAGCCUGUGAAGACUUAACUGAUUUUCUACGGAUGAAGGUUUCAGUGUCCCAAGGCCCCAUACCGUAUCUGAUUUUACUUUAUUUUUGUUUGUUAAGCCUAACAGCUUCUGAGGAGCCACGUAGAGCUCAAGAAGCAAAAGCUACUGAGAGUAGAUGCUAUGUAAACUGCACAAGACGUUGACCUUUGUUAAAUCCGAACACUGUUUAAGAUAAUGCUAUCUCUUACCCACGAGGCUGUAGCUUGGAAUAUUCAGUGCUCUGAA